rnacentral:rRNA from 1 species
GUGGGGAAUAUUGGACAAUGGGCGAAAGCCUGAUCCAGCCAUGCCGCGUGUGUGAAGAAGGUCUUCGGAUUGUAAAGCACUUUAAGUUGGGAGGAAGGGCAGUAAGUUAAUACCUUGCUGUUUUGACGUUACCGACAGAAUAAGCACCGGCUAACUUCGUGCCAGCAGCCGCGGUAAUACGAAGGGUGCAAGCGUUAAUCGGAAUUACUGGGCGCAAAGCGCGCGUAGGUGGUUUUGUAAGUUGGAGGUGAAAUCCCCGUGCACAACCUGGGAACUGCCUCCAAAACUACUGAGCUAGAGUACGGUAGAGGGUAGUGGAAUUUCCUGUGUAGCGGUGAAAUGCGUAGAUAUAGGAAGGAACACCAGUGGCGAAGGCGACUACCUGGACUGAUACUGACACUGAGGUGCGAAAGCGUGGGGAGCAAACAGGAUUAGAUACCCGAGUAGUCC